rnacentral:rRNA from 1 species
GUGGGCUUGACAUGUUGGUGACCGCCGUGGAAACACGGUUUUCCUUCGGGACACCAUCACAGGUGGUGCAUGGCUGUCGUCAGCUCGUGUCGUGAGAUGUUGGGUUAAGUCUCGCAACGAGCGCAACCCCUGUCCUAUGUUGCCAGCAUUCAGUUGGGGACUCAUAGGAGACUGCCGGUGACAAACCGGAGGAAGGUGGGGAUGACGUCAAGUCAUCAUGCCCCUUAUGUCCAGGGCUGACACACGUGGUACAUUGGCGCAUACAAAGGGCAGCAAUACCGCGAGGUGGAGCGAAUCCCAUAAAGUGCGUCUCGGUUCGGAUUGGAGGCUGAAAUUCGCCUCCAUGAAGGUGGAGUUGCUAGUAAUCGAGGAUCAGCAAUGCCGCGGUGAAUACGUUCA